rnacentral:rRNA from 1 species
UGAACGCUAGCGGCAGGCUUAACACAUGCAAGUCGAGGGGCAUCGGGAGUAGCAAUACGUUGCCGGCGACCGGCGCAAGGGUGCGUAACGCGUGAGCAACAUGCCCGUAUCAGGGGGAUAAUCCAUGGAAACGUGGUCUAAUACCCCAUAGUAAUUAUGUAAGGCAUCUUAUAUAAUUUAAAGCUUUGGUGGAUACGGAUUGGCUCGCGUGACAUUAGCUGGAUGGUAAGGUAACGGCUUACCAUGGCUACGAUGUCUAGGGGUUCUGAGAGGAAGGUCCCCCCACACUGGAACUGAGACACGGUCCAGACUCCUACGGGAGGCAGCAGUGAGGAAUAUUGGACAAUGGAUGGAAAUCUGAUCCAGCCAUGCCGCGUGCAGGAAAGACGGCCCUAUGGGUUGUAAACUGCUUUUGUAUGGGAGCAAUAAGGGCUACGUGUAGUCCGAUGAGAGUACCAUACGAAUAAGCACCGGCUAACUCCGUGCCAGCAGCCGC